rnacentral:rRNA from 1 species
AUGGGAGAAAUCCGGGGCUUCCGGUCCAUGUUGGCCAGUCAGGAACUAAUUAAUAUGUUAGGGUACAUUAAAGAUCGUAUUUGGGAACACAUUCAGGGGUGGUUGAAAAAGCUGCUGUCAAAGAUUAAUAGCAUGAUUGGCGGAUAUUUCUGGGCUCAACAAGAAAAUGAAAACAAGGUUCAUUGGAUUAGUUGGGAGAAGCUUACACUGUCAAAGGAUAAAGGAGGUUUAGGAUAUAAGGAUCUUCAUUCAUUCAAAGUUCUAGUCCCUCGCCUUCUGGCUUAUGUCAAGCCGGAUUAUGUCAAGCCGGAUUAUGUCACGGUGGCCUCUGGCUUGACAUAA